rnacentral:rRNA from 1 species
UUAAGCGACUAAGCGUACACGGUGGAUGCCCUGGCAGUCAGAGGCGAUGAAGGGCGUGCUAAUCUGCGAUAAGCGCCGGUAAGGUGAUAUGAACCGUUAUAACCGGCGAUACCCGAAUGGGGAAACCCAGUGUGACUCGUCACACUAUCAUUAACUGAAUCCAUAGGUUAAUGAGGCGAACCGGGGGAACUGAAACAUCUAAGUACCCCGAGGAAAAGAAAUCAACCGAGAUUCCCCCAGUAGCGGCGAGCGAACGGGGAGGAGCCCAGAGCCUGAAUCAGCAUGUGUGUUAGUGGAAGCGUCUGGAAAGGCGCGCGAUACAGGGUGACAGCCCCGUACACAAAAGCGCAUGUGCUGUGAGCUCGAUGAGUAGGGCGGGACACGUGGUAUCCUGUCUGAAUAUGGGGGGACCAUCCUCCAAGGCUAAAUACUCCUGACUGACCGAUAGUGAACCAGUACCGUGAGGGAAAGGCGAAAAGAACCCCGGCGAGGGGAGUGAAAAAGAACCUGAAACCGUGUACGUACAAGCAGUGGGAGCACCCUUUGGGGUGUGACUGCGUACCUUUUGUAUAAUGGGUCAGCGACUUAUAUUCUGUAGCAAGGUUAACCGAAUAGGGGAGCCGGAGGGAAACCGAGUCUUAAUUGGGCGUUAAGUUGCAGGGUAUAGACCCGAAACCCGGUGAUCUAGCCAUGGGCAGGUUGAAGGUUGGGUAACACUAACUGGAGGACCGAACCGACUAAUGUUGAAAAAUUAGCGGAUGACCUGUGGCUGGGGGUGAAAGGCCAAUCAAACCGGGAGAUAGCUGGUUCUCCCCGAAAGCUAUUUAGGUAGCGCCUCGUGAAUUCAUCUCCGGGGGUAGAGCACUGUUUCGGCUAGGGGCCAUCCCGGCUUACCAACCCGAUGCAAACUGCGAAUACCGGAGAAUGUUAUCACGGGAGACACACGGCGGGUGCUAACGUCCGUCGUGAAGAGGGAAACAACCCAGACCGCCAGCUAAGGUCCCAAAGUCAUGGUUAAGUGGGAAACGAUGUGGGAAGGCCCAGACAGCCAGGAUGUUGGCUUAGAAGCAGCCAUCAUUUAAAGAAAGCGUAAUAGCUCACUGGUCGAGUCGGCCUGCGCGGAAGAUGUAACGGGGCUAAACCAUGCACCGAAGCUGCGGCAGCGACGCUGAUGCGUUGUUGGGUAGGGGAGCGUUCUGUAAGCCUGUGAAGGUGGCCUGUGAGGGUUGCUGGAGGUAUCAGAAGUGCGAAUGCUGACAUAAGUAACGAUAAAGCGGGUGAAAAGCCCGCUCGCCGGAAGACCAAGGGUUCCUGUCCAACGUUAAUCGGGGCAGGGUGAGUCGACCCCUAAGGCGAGGCCGAAAGGCGUAGUCGAUGGGAAACGGGUUAAUAUUCCCGUACUUGGUGUUACUGCGAAGGGGGGACGGAGAAGGCUAUGUUGGCCGGGCGACGGUUGUCCCGGUUUAAGCGUGUAGGUGUGUGUUCCAGGUAAAUCCGGUUCACUUUAACACUGAGGCGUGACGACGAGGCACUACGGUGCUGAAGCAACAAAUGCCCUGCUUCCAGGAAAAGCCUCUAAGCAUCAGGUAACAUCAAAUCGUACCCCAAACCGACACAGGUGGUCAGGUAGAGAAUACCAAGGCGCUUGAGAGAACUCGGGUGAAGGAACUAGGCAAAAUGGUGCCGUAACUUCGGGAGAAGGCACGCUGACAUGUAGGUGAAGUGAUUUACUCAUGGAGCUGAAGUCAGUCGAAGAUACCAGCUGGCUGCAACUGUUUAUUAAAAACACAGCACUGUGCAAACACGAAAGUGGACGUAUACGGUGUGACGCCUGCCCGGUGCCGGAAGGUUAAUUGAUGGGGUCAGCGCAAGCGAAGCUCCUGAUCGAAGCCCCGGUAAACGGCGGCCGUAACUAUAACGGUCCUAAGGUAGCGAAAUUCCUUGUCGGGUAAGUUCCGACCUGCACGAAUGGCGUAAUGAUGGCCAGGCUGUCUCCACCCGAGACUCAGUGAAAUUGAACUCGCUGUGAAGAUGCAGUGUACCCGCGGCAAGACGGAAAGACCCCGUGAACCUUUACUAUAGCUUGACACUGAACAUUGAGCCUUGAUGUGUAGGAUAGGUGGGAGGCUUUGAAGUGUGGACGCCAGUCUGCAUGGAGCCGACCUUGAAAUACCACCCUUUAAUGUUUGAUGUUCUAACGUGGACCCGUGAUCCGGGUUGCGGACAGUGUCUGGUGGGUAGUUUGACUGGGGCGGUCUCCUCCUAAAGAGUAACGGAGGAGCACGAAGGUUGGCUAAUCCUGGUCGGACAUCAGGAGGUUAGUGCAAUGGCAUAAGCCAGCUUGACUGCGAGCGUGACGGCGCGAGCAGGUGCGAAAGCAGGUCAUAGUGAUCCGGUGGUUCUGAAUGGAAGGGCCAUCGCUCAACGGAUAAAAGGUACUCCGGGGAUAACAGGCUGAUACCGCCCAAGAGUUCAUAUCGACGGCGGUGUUUGGCACCUCGAUGUCGGCUCAUCACAUCCUGGGGCUGAAGUAGGUCCCAAGGGUAUGGCUGUUCGCCAUUUAAAGUGGUACGCGAGCUGGGUUUAGAACGUCGUGAGACAGUUCGGUCCCUAUCUGCCGUGGGCGCUGGAGAACUGAGGGGGGCUGCUCCUAGUACGAGAGGACCGGAGUGGACGCAUCACUGGUGUUCGGGUUGUCAUGCCAAUGGCACUGCCCGGUAGCUAAAUGCGGAAGAGAUAAGUGCUGAAAGCAUCUAAGCACGAAACUUGCCCCGAGAUGAGUUCUCCCUGAGACUUAGAGUCUCCUGAAGGAACGUUGAAGACGACGACGUUGAUAGGCCGGGUGUGUAAGCGCAGCGAUGCGUUGAGCUAACCGGUACUAAUGAACCGUGAGGCUUAACCUU